UGCCGCAUCUACUACGAGAAUGAAGACCAUUCUCAGCAAUCAGACUCUGGGAAAACUAUCUUCCUAUGAGGAGGGAAAGACAUGCACAAAGAGUGUGUUUUCAGGCCUCUAUCUUGAAGAAACUGUUUCGCUUCUAAGAUGAGAGACCUCCAGGCAUACUCCAAAGGUCUAAAUUCCAAUCAGGGCCGUGUGUCUCCCUGCACUAUCCAAGCCUUGUAAACAUAUUCCUAGGUCAGCGCAUUCCUGCCCAUGAGGAAGCAGGCUGCGGGAGUGUGUCUGAGGGGGCCCGGUGCCCCGCUUGGGGUCACAUGGUCAAGGGCACCUUGCACCACCAAUGGGCCCCAGGCAAGGAGUGGGGGGCUGCCCUCUUGCUUCAGAAAUGCCAAUUAGGGAGCAAAGCUAGCUCUGUCAGAAGGAAGAAAACAGCCACGGGAUGGAUUUUCAAGCAGUUUUGGGGCUGUACCGUGUUCGUGCUCCCCAGGAGAAAAACACAAAUUUUGGCCCCUAGGCCCGAUAUCCAGGUGGGUGCACAGGGUGUUCCCCGCAGGAUCCAAGAACAUUCCAGAUAGACUUAAGCUCACUAGCUCUCACCUGCAGUGGAACCGUGAUGGAACAGCCAUUUGGAGGUUGCUUUGACUUUCCCUGGGAGUAUGGGAGCCCUUCCUGGGCUCAGGACCUCAGGUACAUUGCCACUGAAAAAUGACUUCCAAGCAAGCACUGGCAAGCCGUGUGCGACUCUCCUCACACAGAGGUCUGGAAAAGUUAUCUUCCUUGGAGCAAGGAAAGGCAGACCCAGAGAGUGUGUUUUCAGGCCUCCAUCUUGCAGCAAGCAUUUGGCUUCUCGGACGUCGGACCUCCAGGUCUCCUCUGAGGACCUCAAAUCCGGAGUCACGGCCGUGUGUUUCCCUGCACUUUCUGAGCCUUGCAAACAUAUUCCUAGGAUAGGGCAGUCCUGCCCAAGGGGAUGCAGGCUGCUGGAGUGUCUGAGGGUGCCGGUGCCAUGCUGGAGUCACCUGGUCGAGGGCACCUUGCACCUCCAAUAGGCCCCAGGCAAGGAGUGGUGGGCUGCCCCCUGGCUUCAGAAAUCCAUGGAGGGGAGCAAAGCUCGCUCUGUCACAAGGAAGAAAACACCAAAGGGAUGCACUUCAAGCAGUUGCUGGGUCGCCUUGUGUUCAGGCUCCUCGGAAGAAAAAUUUGGCCCCUAGACCCAGUAUCCACGUGAGCGCACAGGGUAUUUCCCCUGCAGGAUCUGAGAACAUUCCAGACAGACCCAGGUUCACGAGCUCUCUCCUGCAGAGGAAAGGUGACGGAAUAGCCAUUUGGACCUUGCUUUAACUUUCCCUGGGACAGUGGGAGCCCUCCCUGGGCACAGGGCCUCAGGGGCCAUUGCCACUGAAAAAUGACCUCCAAGCCAGCACUUUGAGCUGUGUGUGACUCUCAGCCCUCAGGAGGCUGGGAAAGAUAUCUUCCUUGGAGGAAGGAAAGGCAGCCACAGAGAGUGUGUUUUCAGGCCUCUAAUGUUUCACUUCUCAGAUGUCAGACCUCCAGGCCUGCUCCAAGGGCCUCAAUCCUAGGUCAGAGCAGUCCUGCCCAUGAGGAAGCAGGCUGCAGGAGCGUGUCUGGGGGAGCUGGGUGCCAUACUGUGGUCACCUGGUCGAGGGCACCUUGCACCUCCAAUGGGCCCCAGGAGAGGAGUGGCGGGCUGCCCCCUUGCUUCAGAAAUUCCAAAGCGGGGAGCAAAGCUCACUCUGUCAGAAGGAAGAAAACAGCAACGGGAUGCAUUUUGAAGCAGUUACUGGGCCGCCCUGUGUUCAGGCUCCUCGGAAGAAAACUGCGAAUUUUGGCCUCUAGUCCCAGUAUCCAGUUGGGCGCACAGGGUCUUUUCCCCACAGGAUCUGAGAAACACACUCUCUGUGGAUGCCUUUCCUUCCUUUAGGAAGAUAACUUUUCCAGCCUCCGCUCAGAAAAUGCAGGGAGACACACGGCCCUGACUCUGGAGUUGAGGCCCUCUGAGCAGGACUGGAGGUCUGACGUCUGAGAAGCCAAACACUUGCUGCCAGGUAGAGGCCUGAAAACACACUCUCUGUGGAUGCCUUUCCUUCCUUUAGGAAGAUAACUUUUCCAGCCUCCUGCAUGCGGAGAGUCGCACGUGGCUUGCCAGUGCUUGCUUGGAAGUCAUUUUUCAGUGGCAAUGGUCCUGAGGUCCUGAGCCCAGGGUGGGCUCCCACACCCCCGGGGAAAGUCAAAGCAACCUCCAAAUGGCUAUUCCAUCACGUUUCCUCUGCAGGAGAGAGCUAGUGAGCAUAGGUCUGUCUGGAACGUUCUCGGAUCCUGUGGGGACACACCCUGUUCUUCCACCUGGAUACCGGACCUAGGGGGCAAAAUUCACAUUGUUCUCUUGGAUGGCCCUAAAGCAGUGUGGCCUAGAAACUGCUUGAAAGUCCAUUAAAUCGAUCUUUUCUUACUUCUGACAGCAAGACUUUUCGUGCAGCCUUUGGGGUUUCUCAAGCAUGUAGACUGCCUGCAACUGCUUGCCAUUGGCCCAUUUACAGUUGAAUGUCACCUCUUCUGGGUAACCACAGUAUGGCAAGCAGCACUCUCAGACUCACUCCCAGAGACUGUUUCCUCCUGGGCAGUCCAGGUACAUAGGAAUGUACUACAAGGCUCAGAAAAUGCAGUGAAAUACAGUGCCCUGACUCUGGAAGUUAGGUCCUCUGGACAAACCUGGAAGAAUUACAAUCUUAGAUGUUAGACAGUUCUUAAUAGAUAAAGGCAUGAUAAGGCAUGUUCCUUGAUGCCUUACUUUUCUCUCAGUAGCAUACCUUUCCCAGAAUUCUGUGCGUUGAUAGUCACACACUGCUUCAAAACGCUUGCAUGGAGGUCGUUUUUCAGUAGCAAUCCCCCUGACUGUGUGACCAUUGGGAAAGCCCCCACACUCACAGGGAAAGCAAAACCAACAUUGAACCAUCUAAUCCAUCAUGUUUUCUCUCUAGGACUGAUCCAGUGAGCCUAGAUGUUUUUGGAAAAAUUUUGUGUACUGAGGGGACACAUCCUGAAUCUGAAGUUGGAUACCGUACCUUGGUGGCAAAAUUCAGAUUUUUCUCUUGGUUGGCCUUUAAUAGGUGAGAACUAGCAACUGCCUGAAAGAGCUGUUUUCUUCCUUUUGAGAGCAAGAACUUUGGGCCACUCUUUGGGACUUCUGAAUCAAGCAGGCGGCUCGCAACUCCUAGCCAAUGGCCCAUUUACAGUUGAAUGUCGCGUCUUCUGGGUAAGCACAGCAUGGCAACCGACACUAUCCCACACACUCCCACAGCCUGUUUCCUCGUGGGCAGUCCCGGCAUGCCAUAGGAAUGUGUUUACAAGGCUCAGAAAGUGCAGGGAAACACACUGCUUGACUUUGGAAUUUAGGUUCUUUGGGCUAUCCUGGAGGACUCACAUCUUAGAAUUCAGACAGUUCUUGAUAGACAGAGGCCUGAAAGCACACUCUCUGUGGAUACCUUACCUUUCUUUAAGGAACAUAGCUUUCAAAGCGUCAUGUGUGGGGAGAGUCACACACCGCUUGAAAACUCUUGCUUUGAGGUCAAUUUUCAGUAGCAAUUUCCCCUGAUGGGGUGGCCGUAGGGAAGGCCCCCACAAUCACAGGGUAAGUAAACGAACAUCUAAACGUCUGUUCCAUCAAGUUUUCCUUGUAGGAGACAUCCUGUGUGACUAGGGCUGUCUGGAAAAUACUUGGAUACGUAGAGACACAGCCUGAGUGUGGUUUGUUAACGGACCUUGUUGGCAAGAUUCAUAUUUUUCUGCUGGUCCUAAAAUAGGCUUCCCUUGUGGCUCAGCUGGUAAAGAAUGUGCCAGCAAUGUGGAUGACCUUGGUGUGAUUCCUCUGUUUGGAAGAUCCACUGGAGAAGGAAAGGGUAUCCACUCAAAUAUUUUGGCCUGGCGAAUUUAAUGGACUGUAUAUUCCAUGGGGUCGUAAAGAGUCAGACCCGACUGAGUGACUUGCACAGCAAUAGCCCUAAAAUGAUGUGGCCUCACAACUGCUUGAAAAUCUAUCCAAUAGCUGUUUCUUCUGACACCGAGAGUUUUGGGCCACCCUUUGGAAUUUCGAAAGCAAGUAGGCUACUCGCAAUUACCAGCCGCUGGCCUAUGUACAGUUGAAUGUCACUUCACAGUAUGGCAACCAGCACUCCCAGACACACUUCUGCAACCUGUUUCCUCAUGGGCAGUUCUGGUACACCAUAGGAAUGUGUUAAUGAGGCUCAGAAAGUGCGAGAAACAAACUGCCCUCUGACUCUUGAAGUUAGAUCCACUGGGCAAACAUGGAGGUCUCACAUUAUAGCAUCUAGAAAGUUCCUGAUAGAUAGAGACCUGAAAACACACUCUCUGUUGAUGCGUACCUUCCUCGAAGGAGCAUACCUUUCCCAGCGUGCUGUGUGUUGAGAGUCACACACUGCUUGGAACUGUUGAUGCCUACCUUCCUUGAAGGAGCAUACCUUUCCCAGCAUGCUGUGUGUUGAGAGUCACACACUGCUUGGAAUGCCUACUUGGAGGUUAUUUUUCAGUAGCAAUUUCCCCUCAUGAUUUGACUGUUGGGAAGGCCCCCACACUCAGAAGGAAGGCAAAACCAACAUGCAGACAUUUAUUCUAUCAAGUUUUCUGUAUAGGAGAGAUCUUGUGUGCCUAAGUAUAUUUGCAAAAUUAUCGGAUAAUGUGAGGAACACCUUGAAUGUGAAGUUGGAUACCUGACCUUGGUCAAACUUUGCAGUUUUGUCUUGGGACUCCCUAAAAUGGU
rnacentral:lncRNA from 1 species